UGACCUAAUUGUGACUGAAGGGAUUCAUAUGAACUCUAGACUUUAAAGAAAUGAGGCAAAGAGAGAGGUAUUUGGGGAGUCUUUAAUGGUGGUUGCCCUCUCUCUCUUCGCCCAUGAUUUCCUUUUUCAUAACAAUAAACCACCAUUUAUUUUAAGGCUCUGUUUGGUUAAGCUGUCGUUCUGAAACAUACACACACACACAUACAUAUAUAUAUAUAUAUAAAAUAUAAAAGCAGGCAGGUUGAAGGGUUUAGGGUUUUAAGAUCUAACCCUUUUGCUUCUUUUUCUUCUUCUUCUUUUUCCUCCUCAUCAUCAUCUUCAACACAACAUUAUUAUUAUUAUUAUUGUAAAGGAUGAGAGGCUAUGAUGAUUAAAUAGUUGUCUAGAGUUCAUAAUGGGGCAAAUGGAGCGGGGGCCCGUAUCUUGGCGGGGCGACCCGGGUAAGGCCUACUUUGUUGUUGUUAGUGCAAACCGAGUGUCUGCAGCCAUGGCGGGUACAUUGUCUCUUUUGCCCCCUCAUUUUACACUUCUGAGCCUCAAAAUACCCCAAAACAAAAAAGUAUUAUCGAAAACUUUUGAUUUUUUUUAAGGGCUAAAACUUACUAUUAUUUAUGAUUGAGAAAUUCCAUAUUUCCUUAAUGAAAGUCACAUUUGCUUUUCUUAUUGUUUUGCUAACUCUAUACUGUUUAGAGAUUUGUAUACAUGUCUUUUUUGAAGUCAUUAUAUUUAUUAAAUUUUAUUGAAGGAACUUUUUCUUUUAAGUGACAUUUAACGAUAUUUUGAGUUUAUAAAAGGAAAUUAGAAACGAGAAAAACAAUAGAGGGGAUACUUUCGAUGACUAAUUGGUGUU